CCUUGGUCUGCUGAACGCGCCCAUUGCUGGAAUAGCUGAUCGUUUCCGGUCCGACCACCGACUGAUCGACCACGUUCUCACACGUUCUCCUCGCAUACCUGCGCGCAUCAAGGGAAACGCAUAAGUAUUUUUGAGACUGCUGUCCUGUCUUUGCAUCUCUUCGGCAGCACCAAAGUCGCUGUAUCGCUUUUUGUGGGAAAAACACGCUAUGUACCUAACACGCUAUGUCCUUGAAUUAAUUACGUAAACCUAUGUGUUCAAUUAACCCGAUAAAGCAUAGAACGCGGUGUGUGACGAACUACGUGAAUUAGCCUACAUUAUUAAAAAAUUGGAAAACUAAUUCAACAUGUCGCAUAAACAUUCGUACAAACGCGUACUUAGUUCUUCACAACGAAAAGGAUGGUAAAAAUGGAGGCAGAUAUUAUAAUGGAAUCACAUGAAAUUACGGAGUCUACAUUUGCUUCAACAUCAUUUUCUGAAAAUAUAUUACAAAGUCCAUUACAAAAUGAUAAUAUGCAUGAUGAUGAUACAGUCCAAAAUAUAUUUGAAAAUGUUUUACAUGAUGAAGAUCUAGUAUCAAGUGAAUAUGAGCUUUCUGAUGAGAAUAUCGUAAUCGUACAAGAUCACAUAAACGAUAUUACAGAAAAUAAUAAUGUAGAUAGCGCAUUAAAUAAGAGUAUUGAUUUAAAAACAUUUUUAAGCCAAUGGGCUAUUGAAGAACAUAUUUCGCAAUCAUCAUUGCGCUCUUUGUUACAAGGAAUAAAACAAUAUACAUGUGAAAAUUGCAGCUUGAACAUACCGUUUGAUCCAAGAACUCUUUUGCAUACUCCUAGGAGUAGUAAUAUUGAGAUUUGCGCUGGUGGUCAAUAUUUUCAUUUUGGACUGAGAAAAGGAAUACUAAGUAUUAUACCGUCACUUUCACGAAAUAUCACAGAAACCAAAAUAUCAAUAAAUGUUGAUGGAUUGCCGUUAUCAAAAUCAUCGCAAUAACAAUUUUGGCCGAUCCUGGGAUCCGUAGCUGAAUCUAAAGAGGUUUAUAUUAUUGGUAUUUACUAUGGAACACAGAAACCAUCAGAUAAUAAUGAAUUUCUUGCAAAAUUUGUGGAUGAAGUAAAAAUAUUACAUGAAGAAGGAAUCAUUUUAAAAAACACAAGUGUGUCAUGCACAAUACAUUCUAUAAUAUGUGAUGCGCCAGCAAAGGCAUUUAUGUUGCAAAUAAAAGGACAUAACGGUUAUUACAGUUGCACAAAGUGCAUAACUGAAGGCAGCUACGUUAAUGGUAAAAUGUGUUUUCCUGAAAUAAAUGCACAGAAAAUCAACUCAUAUCAAAGGUCCUUUAAUUGAAGGCUGCUGUAACCCGCAGUAUUACAUAAUAAAAUGUUUAAAUGUAAUCAUACGUACUGAUAUAUUAGCAGAUAAUUGCUGUGAUUUGAUAAAUGGAAGCAUUGUUGAAAUAAAAAAUGUUGCUCAUCAUAAAGAACUUAAUACGGAUGUAAUUAUUGUGCACAUAUACAUAAUGGAAGAAUUAUAGUCCAUCCUCGAGUUCGAAGUUGGAGUGGAAAUGAUUCCUAUUUCCUGGAUAACGGAAAAUGAAAGUGCCGCUCGUUGACCACCUUUUACUUCACAUUUAAAGUUUAAUAAAGCUGUACAACAGCACAUAUCAUAUGAAAGUAAUUGGCCCUUGCAUGAAAUAAACAAGAUAUUAGCCACUUCAAAUUCAUAUGAAGAAGGAUUAUUGAAAUUAAAGAAAGCAGAAAUAGCAUCGGACAUUAAUUCUGAAAAUGACGAUUUUGAAAAUUCUAAGAAAUCUAGAAAAGACAGAGCGAAAAAGGUUAUCUCAAGCAGUAGUGAUGGUAGCGAUUCUGAUAAUGAAAAUACGCUGUUUUACCAUGUUAUCUUAAGAUUCCGCAAAUAAAAAGAUUUGACAAAUCAAAGAAAUUUGAUGAUACAUCAAAAAAGUUAUGUCAAGCGAAAAAGGUUAUGUCAAGCAGUGAUGUUAGCGAUUCUGAUAAAGAAAAUACGCAGUUACCAUGUUAUGCUAACAUUCCGCAAAUAAAAGGAUUUGAUAAAUCAAGGAAAUUUGAUGAUAAAACACAGUUUAUAAAAGAAGCUGUAACAACUUGUGAAAGAAAUGAGCAAAAGAAAUCUGAAAAUACAAAUGUACGCGAAAUUAAGAAGAAAAAUGAUAAGGAUGUUAUUUUUGAUAAUUUAUAUCAUGACGAGUCUAGCGUUGAACGUAACGCAAGUAAUAUUGGUUCAACACGCUCUAAUUUUGAACGUUACGUGAUAAGGAAACUAUCAGACAUCGGAUUUCAAUUAUCUUCAUUGCAAGAACAAGGAAAAUUUUUGAAUAGCAAAUUACACACUAUUUUACUAAAUCUUCAAACAUCUGUUUCUCAUGGAAUAGAAGACAAAACUGCGGAGCAAGAUAUAAUGAAUAUAAUGAAUAAUUUUCCCUUUGAGACUAUGGAAGAUUUAAAUGCUUUUGAAAAAUUGAAGGUCAAAUAAAUCGCAAAAAAUUGAUUAUAGAAUUAUCGCGUAUUGGCGGAAGUGAUAUAAAAAAAUGAUAUUUAAUCUUCUACGAACAUUGACAUCCGAUAAAUUAGCGUGCAUGUUUAAUUAUAUUGGAGGAAAGAAAAAGCGAAUGUUUUAUGAUUUGGAGCUACGGAAAAUUAUAUUAAGUGUUGUACGAACUAAUUUUAUAGACGCAACAGAAGAAACUGUCAGUGAACCAAUAAAAUCGUGGUUACAGCAUGCAAAUGAACGUUACCGAAAAAAAGCAAAAAACAAUACGGAUGAACAUGCAACAACAUAAAAUUUUAAUUAAGGGAUACAAUUAGUAUUUGAAUAAAAAUAGGCGUAGCUCUUGAAAAUCAAAAGUGCAAAUAAUUCCGUCCAUUGGACUGUAACUUAUAGUGUAUUUAUACAACCAACUCGGAUGUGAGUGUCCGCAGUGAUAAACUCGGGUACAUGGGUUCACAAUGAGCAUCAUGAUACUCAAGAGCUAUGCCUAUUUUUUCCUCUUGCAUAUCCGCUCGGCCGGCAUGAUGGUCGCACCGCUCAGACACAGGACUGUCAUACAUGUCCGCAGGAGCUUGCGAGAUUUCUAAUUACUAGUCUAUUCUUAAUGAAUUUCUUAUCAAAAUCUUCUACGUCCUUUAUUUUUAUAUACGUUAUCAAUAUAUAAUUAAUAUAAGUAUAUUGAUAGCGUAUAUAAAAAUAAAAAACAUAGAGAAUUUCAAUAAGAACAGAUGCACUGGCGUAGUUCUUGAAAAUCGCCUAGAUCGUGCAAAUAACUCUGACCAAAGUUUAAAUCAUACUAAAGAAAAGUACAAAUUUGUUCUUAAGCAAAUAUUAGUUUUUUUUACAUGUGUAUUAACUAAGCUAUUAAUAUUAAAAUUUCUAUCUUUAUUCGUUACAUAAAAUGUUUUCUAAAAACAAAGAAUGCGUACAAUUUAACUUGGUUAUAUUUGUAAAUGAAAUUGCACACGUGGACGUUGCUUGUGCAUAUGAUUCUUCGAUAUUUUGUGGUUGUAUGAUCAAAGAAAGUACUUUUUGAGACAAAUUUUCUUAUCGACAAUGAUCACGAUGAAUUGGCGUUAAAAAAAUAGAAUAGUUUUUGUCAGAAACAAAGUCCAUUAUGAUUAGAAUGUUCUUUGUCCUUUUUUAUAUUGAUAUUUAUUUGUGGAUUCAGAUAUCCAAACACUUAGGGAAAGAAAUUCCUUGUGAGCUGGUCGUAAGUUUUACUUCAAAUAUUUCUACUAAUAAUAUUCUUAAUAAAUAAUUGUGAAAUUGCUUUAAACAAUUCAAUGUCUAUUUGUACUUAGAAAAAAUCGUGAUCAUUCUUUACUACGGUUUUCUCAAGACUUGACUAUUGGUGCUUUCCAUCAACGUAUACAGUACCAUCAACGUAAUACAGUAAAUCGUUUUAUCCUUGUCGUUUAUCAAUGUUAAACAAAAAGGAAAUGAUUCAAUGUAAUUAUGUUACAUUGUGUCACCUAUGUCGUUUUGCUGGAAAGCACUCUAUAAAUAAUUAUGAAAUGGCUUUAUGGUGAUGGUGACUUGAUAAUACUGGUCGUUAUGGAAUAGCUAGCUUGUAUCCGUAUAUCGGGAGUAAAUGGCAACAAACGUCUAUAAAAGUACUUUCUCGUCAAAGUAUCUAAAAAUCGAUUGUAUCUAAGUGCAUUUGUAAAAAAUAGGAAUAUUGUGAGAUAUACAGUGUUUGGAAAGGUAAGGUCAAUCGAAUAGGAAGGGAAAGAAGAGGAAAGGGGAUACCCAUUAAAAAUUUCAAGGUUAUCUUUACGUGACCUUGAGAACGCUAUUCUUCUAUGCACUGCUACACUUAAAACCCUACAAUUUCUGUAUGAAACAUUUUUCUCAGAAAUGCGUACUUUUUGAAAUAUUAAGAGGUAUCAACACUUUUUAGACACCCCUGUAAAGCGCUAUAUUUUCUAAACCAUAGCAAAUACGAAAAAAUUUUAUUUACA
rnacentral:lncRNA from 1 species